UAUUGUCUCUCUCACAACAGGACAAAACUUGCUGUUAUGAAACAGACUGUUCUGAUCCAGUUUUUACAAGAUACUUGGGCUCAGGUAAGGGAUUAUUUGAAUAACGCACUCAGAAAAGUAAUUGCUAAGACUAAAUAACCUAUACAUUUGUUUACCUAUCAGCCCUUUCCCCCUCGCGGCGACACCAGGAAGGCAUUGCAUGGAAAAAAAAG